ACCUGGCUGGCUCAGUCAGUAGAGCUCAUGAUUCUUGAUCUUGGGGUAGUGAGUUCGAGCCCCACGUUGGGUG
rnacentral:tRNA from 1 species